UUGAACGCUGGCGGAAUGCUUUACACAUGCAAGUCGAGCGGCAGCACGGGGGCAACCCUGGUGGCGAGCGGCGAACGGGUGAGUAACUCAUCGGAACAUGCCCAGUCGUGGGGGAUAACACUUCGAAAGAAGUGCUAAUACCGCAUACGUCCUGAGGGAGAAAGCGGGGGAUCGCAAGACCUCGCGCGAUUGGAGUGGCCGAUGUCAGAUUAGCUAGUUGGUGGGGUAAAGGCCUACCAAGGCAACGAUCUGUAGCUGGUCUGAGAGGAUGAUCAGCCACACUGGGACUGAGACACGGCCCAGACUCCUACGGGAGGCAGCAGUGGGGAAUUUUGGACAAUGGGGGCAACCCUGAUCCAGCCAUUCCGCGUGAGUGAAGAAGGCCUUCGGGUUGUAAAGCUCUUUCGGCAGGAACGAAACGGUGAGCUCUAACAUAGCUUGCUAAUGACGGUACCUGAAGAAGAAGCACCGGCUAACUACGUG
rnacentral:rRNA from 1 species